GUAUUUUAAUAUAAUUAUCUGAUUUGUUCACAUGGGGAUUGAUGCAAUAUGUCUGCUAGGUUGAAAGCCAGUUGCAUGAGAAGAUGGAUUCUCAAGGGAAGAAUAUAUACCCAGUCGUGGGAUUGCUGGGUGGAAUGGCCAUGUUACCAGAAGACCAUCUGACUGAUGAGAAAGUUUUCCCAACCAGUCAGAAAAAAUUUUCCACUUUUAGAGGCCAUUCAAGAGCAGAGGGAAGAAAGUGAGGCACUGACUUCUGGAGACUGGGGGGCAGUAGUUUUGCCACAAACUAGCUAUGUGACUCUUUGUGUCAAUCUCUUCAUCUGUAAGUCUUUCCUCUAUACUGGAAGCUUUCAUCAGCCAACCAAGGACCAGCGUUCUGGACUUUCUUUUACUUCUGACACAGUGCUGGGAACAGAAGCCCUACAGAACUAACCCGGUUUGCUCAGAAAACACAUGAUCACAGACUGAUUAGAACAAGUUUUUCUGCAGAUUGGGACUGAUUUUCCAAAGUACCAGGAAGCAGUUUCCCUCUGUGCUCCUCUCCCCACCACAUCCUCUCUAAACUGGAUUCAUGAGAAGAAAGUUAUUCUGCAACUCUCCACAGCACAUCUCUCAGUUGAGGACACUUAAACAUUUCCUGGAAACAGCACUGAAGCAGGAGGGUGUAACUUUGCCUUCUCAUUCAUCCCAGGCUUGCCAAUGACCUUGGACAAGCUCCAUCACAUCUUGGUUUCCACAUGGACUGAGCUAAAUAUCUAAUGAAACUCCAUAUGGCUCUUUCAUUCUAUGACUGCUGUCUGCCUCAUUUAUUCAGCUUUUGGUGAUUUUCCCUAAAAAAAAAAGUCCCUUUUAAAUUUAACUUAAUCUUUAAAAAUGAUCAUACAGUAAAAUUAACCU